GAAGCAAAGAAAAAUGAGGCGUAUAUUUUAAACUAGUUUCAGUUUGAUGUGUUUUAAACUGGUUUAAAUAUAUUUUCUUAUACUUGUAGGUGUUAUGAUUUUGAUAUAUCAUACUUUUAUGCAAAGUACUACGUAGACUAUUAUAACUAAAAUAUAACAAUUACAGAUAUAAAAAAAUUGUAUUUCAAACAGUUUGAGAUGUUUCGAACUGAAACUGGUUUGGAAUAUACGCCUGAUUUUUCUUCGUCUCUCUCAUAUUUUGUUACUAGGAGUUGUUGGGCUAUGUUUGUGGGUAGUUGUGAUGUGUGCGUGUGUGGUUUACAUCCCAUGUAUCUGCGACUCGCAUCGUUGUUUUUGGGAUCGCGAUGUUCUCGUUGGCCCUGGGAGUUGACACUUGUGCGGUGGCACUUCUCUACUUCGGUAUAUGCUGCUUGGCACCUGAGGUUCAGCCGUGGAAGUCUUUCCUAUGCUGUGGCCUCGCGGCGGUGGAGGGCUGGGCUCCUAGUCUCAAAGGAGAUCUCGUUGUGCUGCCCGUUACUUUCGGCGUUGCUGCGGAAGUUCUGCCCUUGCUCAAAGCGGCGGCGGCCAGGCGCUUCUAUCUUGUCCAAAAGUGGGGCCGGUUGUGAGUUGUGGUGUGGGGGCGCUGGUACGGCGGGUGUGCUAGUACCGGUGAUCCGUCGUGGAUUGGUGCCCGAGAUGGGUACUCGUGAUGCCUUGGUGGUGGUCCCGUCGGCGGGGCUAUCGGUUCUGGAUCUGUGGUGGAAUGAGCUCUGGGUGGCGAUAGGGUUGGUUUCUACACCCGCCUUUCCUGGGUGGAAAGCGUGGGGGACCCGACGCGGGUUGCGGAGGUAGCUGAGCAGGACGACGGCCCGCGCUCUGUUCCAGUCAGUACGAUGGCCUGCGCUCUGCUCCAGCCAGUACGACAGCCCGCGCUCUGCUCCAGUCAGGACGAUGGCUCGCGCUGCUCACUACCUGGCAUGGUCUGCCUCCCGACUUGGAAGCUACUGCCAUCGCUGGGUUACUGCUCCUUUCCCUGGCUUCCAGCUUUGCCCGGCGGAUAUUUGCUCGGCUGCGGCCUUUUGUUCGAUGGCAGCGGCGUCGGCUGGGCGGCUUGACGGCACUAUGGCUGUGUCGAUUACCUUCGGCGGUGCGGGUCUCCCGGCUCGGUGGAGCGGCGGCGGCGGGUACCGAUCUCGUCGGCGGGGCGGCCCAGCGACGGGGUUGGGCGCGGCGGGCGGCUUCUUUUUGUGGUUUAUGCUGAUCGUGUGUAGGUGGCGGUGGUCGGGGUCGGGCGGAGGUCGGGGGUUGACUUUGGUAUCCUCUUCCCACUCUGGGUUUGGUGACACGGCGGUGGAGGCGGUUGUCUGGUGGUGGCGCUUCUACUGGCGGGCGUUGGGCGUGGGUGGCGCAGACCUAGACCGUCGGGCGGAAGUGGUGUGGCGGACACGUGGUGAACCCGCACCGGGCAGUGCGGCGGUGGCGUGGGCGCGCGGUGGUGGUCGCGGCUACGCUGCGCCGCGUCACCUCGGGGUGCCUUCGCGCUGAUGGUCCAGGCCCCGACAGCCGGACGCAACCGGUGGGGUGUGCUUCUCUGUUCUCCCCGGGGCGGUGGCGGCCGCCGCUGGCCCGAAGCGGGUAGGGGCGGGAGACCGCCGUCGCGUCAUCCUCCCCACGCGACCACCGCCACCACACCAGCGGGAGGGGCAGGAACACAAAUGGAUCCCCUCAAAUCCUUAACCCCUACUCUACUUAUUUGAACGCCUACUCGUGAACUCGUCUCCAACAACGACGUCGGUCUGGAUGUAUCUGGACGUCACUCGUCAGCGCGGCACGUUGCCCGUCGUUCGCUCACCCUCCUGCGGCUCUGUGCUAGUUAUGAUCUUCCUCCGCCUACUACCAAACGAAGAACAAAUUAGAUAUAGAUAUAGAUAUAUAUAUAUAUAUAUAUAUGGAUGAUAAUUUCGUUCCACUAUAAGAACCAAAGCAGGGCGAAGACGAAAAUAUAAUACACACUUUAUGUGCUCCACCAUGAUUAAGCAGGCUUUUAACCCAAAGACAGCAGGCAGCAGCCGCAAAAACGUGUUUUUGGGGAGACAAGGAUUCUUUAGUUGGGCGUGAGGAUAAGAUAGACUCUUUUGCGAAGCAAAAAUGCUCUUGUGGGGACGCUAGGAAUUAAUCUGACCAAGUGGUAGCGCGGAAUAGGUAAACGUAACAGGAGGCGGUACGUGCGUGGCGGGCGAACGGCGGCCGCAGAUGCGGCGUCCUCGCUUCCUGCCCCACUACGCAGGGCCGCCGGCAGGCGCAGCGGGCUAUGGUCCUUACCCCGCUCGGCAGCGCCGCCUGCACGCAAGCGCCGGUAGAGGGAUUCUGGUCCUUACCCCUUACCCGGCUCCGCAACGGUGCCUCCGGCCAUUCCGCCGGCCGCACGAGAGAACUCCGCAGCCUGGUUCGUGCCGUUGUGGCUCUCGCAGCGGCACCCCAAGAAGUUCUACAAGUUCCACCACGGCUACGAGUUGUGAUCGUGCCCGACGUUCUGCCGGUACGGGCACGCGGGGGCGGCGGCGUCAGACAACCAGCGUCAAAGACCCCCCGACCCGCUCCGCCCCUACCUCCUCAUGCCUCACCCUACCUACCCCUUCCCCCCUGGACGACCCGCUCCGGUACACGCGGCCGCGCGCCCACCAGCACCACCUCCGCCGGCGGCGGAAGCAGGAGGUGGAGGAGGAUUGCGCGUACGAGCGGCGCCCCACCGCCACCCCGGUACGAGGAACGGGAGCGCGUGGGCAUGAGCGUGAGCCGUCGCCCCGGUAGGAACGCCUCGUGCGCAGCCGCCACUGCGAGAAGCCCGUGGGGGCGUCGGCCGACUCGGACCGGUAGGUACUCCUGUGCGCCCGCGGCUGCCGCAAGGAGUAGCUCUACGGGUACGACCGCCGCCGCGACGUGUCCCCUACCGGUGCCCUGGAACUUCGACCGCGGCCUCUCGCUGUCGGCGUCGCACGCCGCUGCCGAGGACAGGUUGCUGCUCACCGUGCACGACGCCGACGACGCGCCGCAGAAGUACCCGCGGCCCCACGACGACGACGGCGGACAACUGCCGAGGUUGAUGGGCUGCCGCAGGAUGAUUAGGGCGACCGACGUGGCAACUUCGUUACUAUAGUCACACGCGUAUACCUCACUCUCUUCCCUCGUUCUACGUCUACGUAGCCACCUCUGCUUACCUAUUAUUUGAUCGCCACCUCCUGGGCAAAAGAAAAACUCCG
rnacentral:rRNA from 1 species